rnacentral:rRNA from 1 species
AGAGUUUGAUCCUGGCUCAGAAUGAACGUUGGCGGCGUGGAUUAGGCAUGCAAGUCGUGCGAGAAGUUUUUUGCUUGCAUUAAACGGAAAGCGGCGAAAGGGAGAGUAACGCGUGGAUAUCUGCCCUCAGAUCCGGGAUAGCUCUGGGAAACUAGUGGUAAUACCGGAUAAUGUCUACGGACUAAAGGUGUGAUUCCGUCUGAGGAUGAGUCCGCGUCCUAUUAGCUUGUUGGUGGGGUAACGGCCUACCAAGGCGUAGAUGGGUACCGGGUGUGAGAGCAUGGCCCGGCUCACUGGGACUGAGACACUGCCCAGACACCUACGGGUGGCUGCAGUCGAGAAUCUUCGGCAAUGGGCGCAAGCCUGACCGAGCGACGCCGCGUGCGGGAUGAAGGCCUUCGGGUUGUAAACCGCUGUCAGUAGGGAGGAAAUGCUGGAGGGCACUCUCUCCAGUUUGACCGAUCUUCAGAGGAAGUACGGGCUAAGUUCGUGCCAGCAGCCGCGGUAAGACGAACCGUACGAACGUUAUUCGGAAUCACUGGGCUUAAAGCGUGCGUAGGCGGCUUGCCAAGUUGGGUGUGAAAUCCCUCGGAUCAACCGACGAACUGCCGCCCAACUGCCUGCUGAGGGAGAUAGAGGUGAGCGGAUCCAUGGUGGAGCGGUGAAAUGCGUGGAUAUCAUGAGGACACCGGUGCCGAAAGCGGCUCACUGGGUCUUUUCUGACGCUGAGGCACGAAAGCUAGGGGAGCGACGGGAUAGAUACCCCGGUAGUCCUAGCUGUAAACGAUGAGCACUGGGUCGAGGGAACUUCUACAUUCUUCUCGGCCGUAGCGAAAGUGUUAAGUGCUCCGCUGGGGAGUAUGGUCGCAAGGCUGAAACUCAAAGGAAUUGACGGGGACUCACACAAGCGGUGGAGGAUGUGGCUUAAUUCGAGGCUACGCGAAGAACCUUAUCCUGGUCUUGACAUGUUUAGGAACUCCUUCGAAAGAAGGAGGUGC